rnacentral:rRNA from 1 species
GACGAACGCUGGCGGCGUGCUUUAGGCAUGCAAGUCGAACGCGAAAGCCCCUUCGGGGGUGAGUAGAGUGGCGAACGGGUGAGUAACACGUGGGUAACCUGCCCCUCGCAGGGGGAUAACCGGGGGAAACCCCGGCUAAUACCCCGUACGCUUGCUGGGGCGCAUGCUCCGGCAAGGAAAGGUAGCUUCGGCCAUCCGGCGAGGGACGGGCCCGCGGCCCAUUAGCUAGUUGGUGGGGUAACGGCCCACCAAGGCGACGAUGGGUAGCUGGCCUGAGGGGGUGGCCAGCCACACUGGGACUGAGACACGGCCCAGACUCCUACGGGAGGCAGCAGCCAGGAAUCUUGCGCAAUGGGCGAAAGCCUGACGCAGCAACGCCGCGUGGGCGAUGAAGGCCUUCGGGUCGUAAAGCCCUGUUGUCGGGGACGAAGGGCGAAGGGUUAAUAGCCCCUAGCCUGACGGUACCCGACGAGGAAGCCCCGGCUAACUACGUGCCAGCAGCCGCGGUAA